CCCAAAUCUGAUCCAUGUGUGAGCCAGCUGAACUCAGGAGCGUUCCCAGGGAAGUGACGUUCCACAGCAGCCCCGCACCCCCCCAGCCUUGAGCCUCCCUGCUUGACACACUCAACUGGGGGCCACAGAGCAAAUUCCAAGACAGAGUUUCAAGAAUGAUGAUUCAGAGGCUCACAGAGGACAUUUAUGGGUGCAUGCAGUGGCUGGAGCUACUGUAAACAGUCUUUAAAAAACCAGGUUCUGGUAAGAGGAACGAGAGAAGUGGCUGUCCGUGUUGGGAUCUAAGCUGGUGGGAAAGCCGUGCGUCUGCAGAGAUCUUCCCUUGAGCAGACCUGGCUUGACCUGAGGCUGUACCAUUUGCCGGAGAGGCCAGAGAGGUGGGCUUCGCCGAUCCAGCUGAAGGGGCAGGCAAGAAACCCUUCAACUUGUACGGAAAUCAUUGUGUCCUCCGUCCUAGGCGCAGGCCUCAGGCCGUGGACGCCGGCCGGCCCCAGUUACCGCUUCGGAAAGUGCCAAGCGCGCGGCGCCGGGACAGA